rnacentral:rRNA from 1 species
UACGUAGGGUGCAAGCGUUAAUCGGAAUUACUGGGCGUAAAGCGUGCGCAGGCGGUUCUGUAAGUCUGUCGUGAAAUCCCCGGGCUCAACCUGGGAAUGGCGAUGGAGACUGCAAGGCUAGAGUUUGGCAGAGGGGGGUAGAAUUCCACGUGUAGCAGUGAAAUGCGUAGAUAUGUGGAGGAACACCGAUGGCGAAGGCAGCCCCCUGGGUCAAAACUGACGCUCAUGCACGAAAGCGUGGGGAGCAAACAGG